rfam:Hordeum vulgare subsp. vulgare, WGS project CAJW01000000 data, contig: morex_contig_64078
UUUCUACUCCCUCCGUCCGAAAAUACUUGUCUUAUAAAUGAAUAAAAUAGUUGUAUCUAUAACUAAAAUAAGUCUAGAUACAUCCAUUUCUAGGAUAAGUAUUUUCGGACGGAGGGAGUAUUUG